GGACUACCGGGGUAUCUAAUCCUGUUUGCUCCCCACGCUUUCGCACCUCAGCGUCAGUACCGGACCAGUGAGCCGCCUUCGCCACUGGUGUUCUUCCUAAUAUCUACGAAUUUCACCUCUACACUAGGAAUUCCACUCACCUCUUCCGGACUCUAGAAUGGUUGUAUCAAAGGCAGUUCCGAAGUUGAGCUCCGGGAUUUCACCUCUGACUGACCAUUCGGCCUACGUGCGCUUUACGCCCAGUAAUUCCGAACAACGCUAGUCCCCUUCGUAUUACCGCGGCUGCUGGCAC
rnacentral:rRNA from 1 species